AUUGAACGCUGGCGGCAGGCCUAACACAUGCAAGUCGAGCGAGCGGCGGACGGGUGAGUAAUGUAUGGGGACUGCCCGAUAGAGGGGGAUAACUACUGGAAACGGUGGCUAAUACCGCAUACUAUCGGAUAACCCAUAUGGGAUUAGCUCGUAGGUGGGGUAAAGGCUAACCUAGGCGACGAUCUCUAGCUGGUCUGAGAGGAUGAUCAGCCACGCGGGAAGUGUGACACGGCCCAGACUCCUACGGAGGCAUCAGUGGGGAAUAGGGCACAAUGGGCGUAAGCCUGAUGCAGCCACGCCGCGGGUAUGAAGAAGGCCUUAGGGUUGUAAAGUACUUGAAGCGGGGAGGAGUUACCCGCAGAAGAAGCACCGGCUAACUCCGUGCCAGCAGCGGCGGUAAUUC
rnacentral:rRNA from 1 species